rnacentral:rRNA from 1 species
CCUACGGGAGGCAGCAGUAGGGAAUCUUCGUCAAUGGGCGCAAGCCUGAACGAGCAAUGCCGCGUGAACGAGGAAGGUCUUCGGAUCGUAAAGUUCUGUUGAAGGGGAAAAAGAGCGGAGAGAGUAAAUGGUCUCCGAUGGAUAUUACCCUUCGAGGAAGUCACGGCUAACUCCGUGCACGCAGCCGCGGUAAUCCGUGGGUGGCGAGCGUUAUCCGGAAUGGUGGGGCGAAAGGGUUGCGUAGGCGGCCUGCUAAGUCUGGAGGGAAAGGUACCGGCUAAACAGGUAAAGGCCCUGGAAACUGGCGGGCUAGAGAGCAGGAGAGGGAGGUGGAAUUCCAUGUGUAGCGGUAAAAUGCGUAGAUAUAAGGAAGAACACCAGUGGCGAAGGCGGCCGACUGGCCUGUUACUGACGCUGAGGCACGAAAGCGUGGGGAGCAAAUAGGAUUAGAUACCCCUGUAGUC